rnacentral:rRNA from 1 species
AGUGAACGCUGGCGGUAGGCCUAACACAUGCAAGUCGAACGGCAGCACAGUAAGAGCUUGCUCUUACGGGUGGCGAGUGGCGGACGGGUGAGGAAUACAUCGGAAUCUACUUUUUCGUGGGGGAUAACGUAGGGAAACUUACGCUAAUACCGCAUACGACCUACGGGUGAAAGCAGGGGAUCUUCGGACCUUGCGCGAUUGAAUGAGCCGAUGUCGGAUUAGCUAGUUGGCGGGGUAAAGGCCCACCAAGGCGACGAUCCGUAGCUGGUCUGAGAGGAUGAUCAGCCACACUGGAACUGAGACACGGUCCAGACUCCUACGGGAGGCAGCAGUGGGGAAUAUUGGACAAUGGGUGUAAGCCUGAUCCAGCCAUACCGCGUGGGUGAAGAAGGCCUUCGGGUUGUAAAGCCCUUUUGUUGGGAAAGAAAAGCAGCAGGUUAAUACCCCGCUGUUCUGACGGUACCCAAAGAAUAAGCACCGGCUAACUUCGUG